UACAGGAGGGGCAAGCGUUGUUCGGAAUUACUGGGCGUAAAAGGGCGCGUAGGCGGCCUGCUAAGUCGAACGUGAAACUCCCUGGGCUCAACCCAGGAACUGCGUCCGAUACUGGUUGGCUUGAAUCCGGGAGAGGGAUGUGGAAUUCCAGGUGUAGCGGUGAAAUGCGUAGAUAUCUGGAGGAACACCGGUGGCGAAGGCGACAUCCUGGACCGGUAUUGACGCUGAGGCGCGAAAGCCAGGGGAGCAAACGGGG
rnacentral:rRNA from 1 species